AAUCAAAAUCUGAGAUUUUUGAAUCAAAUUACUUGAAAAUUUUGAGGGAGAAACUUAUAAUUUUAAGUAACAUGCAAGAUAAUCAGUAAUCAGUAAUACAAAAAAAUCAUUUCUGUUUAGUAAUAUUAUUAAAGUUAUCCUUAUCAUUUAAAAUGUUACAUUAACGUUUAGAUCACAGAGUGUAUGAACCAAAUAUAGUAAUCCUGAUAAGAUAACUCGAACCAAAUACGCUCUUAAGCAUUUCUUAAUUGUG
rnacentral:lncRNA from 1 species